rnacentral:rRNA from 1 species
AAACCAGCACCUCAAGUGGUCAGGAUGAUUAUUGGGCCUAAAGCAUCCGUAGCCGGCUCUGUAAGUUUUCGGUUAAAUCUGUACGCUUAACGUACAGGCUGCCGGAAAUACUGCAGAGCUAGGGAGUGGGAGAGGUAGACGGUACUCGAUAGGAAGGGGUAAAAUCCUUUGAUCUAUUGAUGACCACCUGUGGCGAAGGCGGUCUACCAGAACACGUUCGACGGUGAGGGAUGAAAGCUGGGGGAGCAAACCGGAUUAGAUACCCGAGUAGUCC